ACGCACGCUGGCGGCAUGCCUAACACAUGCAAGUCGAACGAGACCUUCGGGUCUAGUGGCGCAUGGGUGCGUAACGCGUGGGAACCUGCCCUUAGGUUCGGAAUAACUCCCCGAAAGGGGUGCUAAUACCGGAUAAUGUCUUCGGACCAAAGAUUUAUCGCCUUUGGAUGGGCCCGCGUUGGAUUAGCUAGUUGGUAGGGUAAAAGCCUACCAAGGCGACGAUCCAUAGCUGGUCUGAGAGGAUGAUCAGCCACACUGGGACUGAGACACGGCCCAGACUCCUACGGGAGGCAGCAGUGGGGAAUAUUGGACAAUGGGCGAAAGCCUGAUCCAGCAAUGCCGCGUGAGUGAUGAAGGCCUUAGGGUUGUAAAGCUCUUUUACCCGGGAUGAUAAUGACAGUACCGGGAGAAUAAGCUCCGGCUAACUCCGUG
rnacentral:rRNA from 1 species